GAGAUUUACUUUAAUCAAACCCACCGCAUCACUGCGCGGGGCACUGAGUGGUGGUGGUGGUGUUUGUGGUGCGUGACCAGUGGCGUUUUUUCCUGAUAAAACAUAUUAAAAGCAUAAGAAGAAAAAACAACUUCUAUCCGCAACGGGAAGAAGUAACAUGCAACAAGAGUGUGAGCGGUGAAAAACAUAAAAAAGCCAAGCGUGUGUGUGUGUGUGAGAGUGUGCGUUUGUGGUGGUAGUUUGUUGUGUAUGUGUGCAUGUGCAUGUUUACAAAGGAAAAGUGAAAAUUCGUUUGUUUCGCGAGUGUGUGCGCCUUUCGGGCCUGUCCCCUUUUGCUCGUUCGCACACCGCAUUUCCACCCGGGAAAGGUGCAAUUUUUCCACCCAAAGCCUACUUUUCGCGCGUGUGUGUGAGUGCGUUUGUUGUGCCAGAGCAGUGUGUGACACCGCGUGUAUGAUUCACAAGCAGCGAAGAAAAAUAUAAUACGCACAAAAGGGCAAUCGACAACGCGGCAGCAUAGUGUAAAGUGGUUUUGAAAAACAAACGCACUGCUGUCCCCUUUCGUGUUGAUUAUGCACUGUUUUGAGGGUUGAGGUUUAGUUGAACGUAUCGGGUACCGGGCCAGUAAAAGAACAACAUCGCGCGCACCGUGUUGCUGUGCUUUACCUCAUCAUCAAAGUAGUCAGCGUCGUCGUCAUCUGCAAAAAAUAAAACAUACAACCAAACCCAAUUUAUUCGAACCCUGCGAAACACACCGUCACCCAUCAAAAGAGAGUGUGAGAGAGGUCCGGAAGUACGUUUCGCAGCAGUGCACAGCGUCAACACCGCACGCUCGUGUUGGCCGAGUGACCUAUAGCUGUAGCUGUUGGUGCCAAAUCGGAACGACAAUCGGUAGUGUUGUAGUGGGGCCUAGAACUUGGACGCGAGGAACGUAAUUAGCUGUGCAAUGCCUGGAGAGUCAACGAAAGCGGCGGAUCCGGCCGCUGCCACCAGUCCCAGCACACCGAAGAAGAAGCCCACCAACUCAAAGGCGGCUCUCGCGAAGGUUACACUGCUCGAUGGUUCAAUUCUGGAGGUGACCAUUGAUCGAAAGUGCCGUGGGCGCGACCUGCUCAACUCGGUCUGUGCCGGUCUGAACAUACUGGAGAAAGAUUACUUCGGUCUGACGUACCACACAGCAAACGAUCCGCGCGCCUGGCUCGAUCUCGAGCGCCCGGUGACGAAGUUCUUCCGGUCCGAUCCGUGGGAUCUCGCGUUCGAGGUGAAAUUCUACCCACCGGAACCGGCCCAGCUGCAGGAGGACAUCACGCGUUACCAUCUGUGUCUGCAGGUGCGCAACGACAUCCUGGAGGGACGGUUGCCCUGCUCGUUCGUCACACAUGCCCUGCUCGGCUCGUACCUGGUACAGUCCGAGCUCGGCGAUUACGAUCCGGCAGAGAUGAAGGAUCGUUCGUAUCUGAAGGAGUUCAAGAUCGCACCUAACCAAACGCCCGAACUGUUGGAUAAGGUUAUCGAUCUUCACAAAACACACAAGAGUCAAACACCAGCAGAAGCUGAACUACACUAUCUUGAAAAUGCGAAAAAGCUCGCUAUGUACGGUGUCGAUUUGCAUCCGGCGAAGGACUCGGAAGGCGUUGACAUCAUGCUUGGCGUUUGUGCGUCCGGUUUGCUCGUCUACAGAGACAAACUCCGCAUCAACCGAUUUGCCUGGCCGAAGAUUUUAAAAAUCUCUUACAAACGCAACAACUUCUACAUCAAAAUCCGUCCCGGCGAGUUCGAACAGUACGAGUCGACGAUCGGCUUCAAGCUGGAAAAUCAUCGCGCAGCUAAAAAGCUAUGGAAGGCGUGCGUCGAACAUCACACCUUCUUCCGGCUGAUGACGCCCGAGCCGCAACAGAAGUCAAGUCUGUUCCCGCGCCUCGGUUCCAAGUACCGGUACUCUGGCCGUACGCAUUACGAGACGCGAAAAACGCCGGUAGAGCGGCCGGCGCCAGACUUUAAGCGUAGCUUGACCGGAAAGCGACUUUCCAGCCGUAGUAUGGAUGCUCUAGCACAGCAAGAAAAGGAACGUGCCGCCGCCAAGGACGCAAACAAGGAUGCGAACAAACGGCACACGAUGUCCCAUCCGCCGGAUCACAUUCCCGAUCUGGAUUCGCCGACCCGUGGUUCCCGCAGCCCGAUCAAGAAGGACAAAAAGGAACGCCUGAAACGCGAGUCCAGCACUGGCACGGCGUCCGCCUCAUCGCAGAGCUCCCUCGAGGGAGAGUACGAAACGACAUCGCCAAACGUUGUACCGGCACAGAAACCGGCUGGAGGAGUGGCCGUGCUGCCAGGCGCAGGAAAGAAGGACAAACCAGAGCAAGUCUCCCAGAAAGAUGAAGGUCUGAAUGGAAACAAUGGACAAGCCGAUGCGCUAAACUCCUCCGCAGAAGAAGCUACUUCCCCGUCGGGCAAACGCAAGGGAUUCCUGUUCUCAUCCGGUCGCAAGUCACCGAAGGACAAGAAAGAAACCGGCAAGGACCACCAACAGCCGGCUAAGCUGAUAGCCGCUGCAAACGGUGACGGCAGUGCGGGUAAGAAGGACCCAGCGAAGGAAGCUGUUCAGGCACGUGCUCAAGACACCACGAACAAGCAGACCACCCCCGAGAAGCCGGGCUUUACCAAACCGUACGAAUAUUCGGAAAGCGAGCAAGAUCCGGCUGCGCACAAGAAGAACGUAAAGACGCGUGGUUUCCGCUACGACGAAGCACCGUUGCGUCAGAACGAGGAGAACGAGCCGCAGCUGAGUCCGAACUCGCAGAGUCGCCGUGCGACUGGGCUGGCCUUUAACUAUGCUCCGGGUGAAGAUCAAAAGGUGCGUGAGUCGGUUGAGAAGCGCAAAACACCCGGUUCUCCUGUUUCGGGUGGCGGUGCCGCCACCGCCGCCGCAGCAGGCAAGCCGGACCAAUUGUCUCCGAAAUCGGCUGCUCGAGGACUUCCGGGCGAGACUGACGCUGAGAAGGGUGUCCGUACGAGCGCACGAUCGUACUCACCCAACAAGGGCCGUCAGACGGUUGAUCCGCUAGCAUCCGGUGCCGGUACGUUCCGGCCGCUGGAUGACACAAGCAAUGCGUUCAUCCAGGGCGAACAGGCGGGUGCAGCUGCCGCAGCCGCUGCAGCCGCUGCUGCUGCCGAACCGGCCAAGAAGAAGGUUAAGAUCAUGGUGAUCAUUUCGAAGUUUGAUCCCAAGACGAAGAAGGUCGAUACGGCACAGGGUGUGGUGGAACAUUCGACCGGUGUGCUGGAUACCAAGACGGGGCAGAUCGAGAGCAAGUACGGACUGAUCGAUCCUAAGGCGGGCACGGUGGUUAACUUUAACACUCGCACCGGCCAGAACGAAACGUUCCAGGGUCAAACGGAUCCGAAAACCGGACAGCUGCACGUUGUCGGUGGAGUUGUGGACUCUGCCAGCGGUAAGGUGGACGACAGCCUUGGACAGGCCAUUAUGGUCGUGCCGGAUGAAGAUUCCGUGGUGGAGAUCACAACGAUCACGUCCAAGGUUGAUACCAACACGGGUAAAAUCGAUACCAUUAAUGGAGAAAUCGAAAAGAGCCGUGGAAUUUUGAACCACCCUACCGGUAUUCUGAGCACCAAGUACGGUGACAUUAACCCGCGCACUGGAGAAUUGCGGGCAAUCGAUCCGAAAACGGGAAAACCAUCGCCGGCAGCUUCCGCCGUUCGCCCGGUAACGGUUGAUCGCAACAAUGGACAAAUUAUGGUGGUCGGCGUGACCGAUCCGAAGACGAACAAGCUGGACAACAGUCAGGCACAUCUGAUUGCGAUCGGAAAUCAGGUUGAUCCGGUAGUUGAAGUUACCUCGGUGCUCGGCAAGCUCGACAAGAAGGGUCUGGUUGAUCCGAAGACGAUUACGAUCGACAAGAGCACCGGCCAGCUGGACACGAAGGACGGCAAGAUAAACACCAAGUACGGCCAGUUGGAUCUAGUGAAGCAAACCGUCACGUUUGUCGAUCCCAAGUCGGGUAAGACGGAGACGAAGGAAAUCAAGGUGGAUCCGGUAACGGGGCAGGUGUUGCUGAAGAAUCAGGUGAACCCCAAGACGGGCAAAACGGACAAGGAUUACGGACGUAUCGUAUCGAUUCGCAUCGUGCACAACCGCAUCGAUCCGGUCACGGGCAAGCACGUUCCAGCGGCCCCCGUCGAGGACAAGGAUGUGCGGGUGGACGCCAAAACGAAUCAAGUAUGGUUGCCGGACGGUGGCAAAGACCCGAAGACAGGUGAAACCAUCUACACCUCCAGCCAGGUCGAUCCGAAAACGGGCUUCGUCAUCACGAUCUACGGUUAUCUGAAUCCGAAAACGAACGAAAUCGAACGACAGUCCAAGAUGGACCCGAACCUCACGAAGAUUGAUCCGACGACCGGGCAGAUUUACGCCGCCACCGGCCAGCUGGACGAAAGCACCGGUGAACCAUUGUUCGCCGCAACGCAAAUCAACGAAGAGGACGGCGAAAUCUACACCAAGGUAGGCCGCAUCGAUCCGAAAUCGGGCCGACUAGUCAUCAUCAAGAUCUUCAUCAUCACGAAGAAGGACGAGCGGGGCAAACCGGAGGAGCUGGACGUAAGCGCCGUCGAUCUGGAUCCCGAGACGGGACACAUCCGGAACGUUGCGCCGAAAACGCUCUACCUGUACAAGAUGCGUGAUCCGAUCACGGGCGAAACGUACAACGUCGAUCCGAACGAUCCGCGCAUUGCCGGAGCACGAACGACCGUUACGCAAACGAUGACACUGAGCGGUGAGAUCGAUCCAGUUACCGGACGCAUCAAGUCCGAGUGGGGCCACAUCGACCCGAACACGGGCGAUAUCGAUCCGGCCACGGCUAUCCGUGAUCCGGUUACGGGCAAACUCAUCCUCAACUAUGCCGACAUCGAACCGAGCCACUUCGGCAAGAACGUUACCGUGACGAAGGAAACCGUUCCGAUUACGCGCGAACAGUUCUACGAAGGUAUCAAGCAUAUGGGCAAGAAGGCGACGCGACGGGAAUCGGAAAGCUCGGACGAUGAUAUGACCGCGCAGUACGGUAAGGAAAGCAUCAAGGAGAUCGGCUCGGGUGCAGCGUCGUUGGCGGGCAGCAAACAGAACGCUGGCACACCGACCGUUGUAAAGACGACCACCAAGCAGGUGAUCACCAAGAACGAGGACGGCGUUACGCACAAUGUUGAGGAGGAGGUGCAGAAUCUGGGCACCGGCCAGAUCGUGUACUCCACCCAGGAGCACAAGGCCGAUGCACCAACCGGUACGGAUGCAGGUAAAUUCGUGACGGCAACCGCUGUCACCACGCGCACCGCCACGACCCACGAGGAUCUGGGCACGAACGCCAAAACGCAACAGCUCGAAGAGAAAACGGUGGCCACCACCACCACCCAGCACGGUGAGCGACAGGAGCAGCGGGUUAUUACGCAGGAAGUCAAAACUACGGCCACGGUGACGAGUGGCGAUCAGUAUGCGCGUCGUGACAGUGUCUCAUCGUCGAGUUCCGGCGAUUCCGGAACACCGAUCGAUGGCCCGUACGGAGACGAUUCCCUGUCGGAAGUGAUCUACAACAAGUCCUACACGGGAGCGGAUAACGUUGUCGGUGCCUCACAGAUUCCGGAAGGACCGAACGUGGAACAUCGUCGCGUGGUGGUGGAUGAUCUGGCCGAAGGUGGCACCACUACCCACGGUGAAAUUGUAUCGUCCCAGACGGUAUCCAGCAAAACGCGAACCGUUGAAACAAUUACCUACAAAACGGAACGGGACGGUGUAGUGGAGACACGCGUCGAGCAGAAGAUCACCAUUCAGUCCGAUGGUGAUCCGAUCGAUCAUGACAAGGCCCUUGCUGAGGCAAUUCAGGUUGCCUCACUUAAAAUCAAUAUCAACCCGUUCGAUCGCCGGGAAGCAGCCCGUAGAUAUCUGCUGCACACAAGCCAAUCACCGAGCUUGACCGAGUUGCAUACGACGAAACCGGGCCCGGGGCACACUGCCAGGGGCCGCCCGGAUGCGAAAUGAAAACAAGCGCAAAUACAGGGAUGGCAAGGGCUGGCGGGUGUGUAUGUUGGUGUGUGAGUGUGCGCGCGCGCGUUUAGAAGUAGGGGAUGGCUAACGAUCACCGUUCGAGCACCACCCGAACAGCAACAGCGCCAACCACCGAGAGAGCAAAUCAAAAAAGAAGUUGAUGGAAGCAACCGCCAUGAAUCCGGAUAUGACAGUGGAGAAGAUUGAAAUUCAGCAGCAAACGCAAUAAGAAACCGGACGACGGACGGAACGAGAAGAGAAAAGCUGAAUCCUGCGAUUAACCUUGGCAUUUGAAGUAACGCGCAUGUGUGGGGGGUGGUGUGUGCCAUUAGAGCCGGAAGCAAACAAAAAAAAAUCCCUUAGAGGGGGGAAUUAACUUCCCCCCUUUUCGGAAAAUAGAAAGUGUGUUUUGCUUUAUGUGUUAACAAAGCUUUUUUAUUGCAAUGGAAAGGAAAGUCACCACUACCUAACGCGCGGAAUUUAUAUAACAUUUACUACCUAAAACAACAAAAUACCAUGUUAAACAGAGAAGAAAAAAGAAUGAAAGUGCAAACUCGUUUAUCGGUAACGCACCGAAUGAAUUCGGCGUCGUGCGUCGAACCAGCAGCAGAUAAGAAAAUUAUUCAUAUAUUUAUUUAUUGCUUAGAAGCGAAGCAAACCAAGCAAACACACACACAUACACUUAUAUAAAAUCGUGCAUGCGUGCGUGCGUGUAUGCAGCAACAGGAGUAAAAAAAAUCAUGAAGCGAUUUGCAUUAGCGUUAAAUGAUGAAAUGUGAAAUAAGAUGGCUGGAAGAGGAAGGAAGCAAAAAUAGCAAGCAACAACAAUCAAAUUCGCUUUAAAACAAAAGAAAAAAUCACCAAUGCUUUGGGAAACGAAAGGUAAUUCUUAUAUGCGAACAACAAAUACACAUACAAACAGAGAGAGAGAGAGAGAGAGCAGCACAUCUAAUAAGGGUAAGCGAAGAAGAAGAAUCUUUGAUGUUUAAGAUGUAUUACAAUUACAGUUUUGUUUCUUUUUCGUGUUCAGGGGCAUACAAAGUAUAAGAUAAUUUGCAUUUCGAGAACAAACAAAAAAUGGAUAAAAUAAGGAAGAAAGAACCGCGGGAGCCCCAGCAGCAACCCGAAGAAAACAAUUAUUUGCCGAUGUUGUUAUCCACGUGUGUGAGACGAUCGUAAAAGCAGAAGAAGAAGAGGAAGUAUGAAAAGCGCGGUGGGGAUUAAGGUAUAAUUUUACUAGGAAGAAUUAAUCCCCCCCAUAACAAGGUCACCAAGUAAGCCGAAAACCGUUUGAACCUUUUUGCAUUAAAUGUUGUUGUACGUGUGUGCCCCAUCUGGAUGUGCGCGAUUUGCUUUUUUUUCUUCCUUUUUGCCGCCCCAUUUUGCAGACCGAAAUAGCGAACAAUGCUUUUGGAGACAUGUUUUUGGGCAGGGGCUUAGAAGCAAACCGUCGCCUCGCCCGUUUGUACGCUAGGCGAGGCUUUUCUUUGGGGUGGAGUGGAAUCACAAUUGUUUAAGGUAGGUUUCUGUUGCGUGUUUGCGAAGAGAAAAUUGUGAAACCAAUAUACCUGUCAGUGUUCAACAAGUGCAAGCUAAAUUCGUGUAAUAGUAAUCGACAAAAAGAAGGCACAUUCAUUACCUUAUUUGUAAUGUAUACAAAAAAGGAAGGGACCGGAAGCGGAAAAGUCCCAUAGCAACACAGCAGUUGAAUCGCGUAAGGAACACAACAGCAGCAACAACAAAAAAAGGAUGCCUUAUUUUAAUUGCACUGCGUGCGCGUUAGGCACAACUAGAAUGACCGCAAACACGCGCCGCAUCAUCAGAAGACGCCAGUUAAGACGCCCUCGACGGCCUCAGAGUAUCACACGUUAUCACGCUGAAAGAGGAUCAUGCUUCGCGUUACUACUGAUUUUUCCUGAUGCUUUCUUUUGGUUUUGUUUUAUUUUUAUUUGCAUAAACAUUCCACACUUUCUAUUGGAAGCAAUCAAAUUCGGUUCUAUUUAUUUUCUCGAUUUGUAUUUACCGUUAUAGUUUUGUUCAUAUUUUAUACAAGUGUCUGUUUUUCCUUCUCUAAUUUAUUUGUUUAUCUUUCACAUGCUAUUUUCUAUUAGUGUAUCCUAAUUUACUUACCUUAAUUUUGCUCUCCUUGAAACAGCACUUGGAAUUACUUCGGUUACCGAUCGUCCAGGGCUUUUUCUUUGUUUUUUUGUUUGUUUUGCUAGCCAAGCUAUAAAACACGACGAAGGAAUGUUUAUGAGUGUGCGUGUAUGUUUUCUCUUAGCUUUUUUCGCUCGAUCGCUCGUUCCCGCAAUAUCCUGGUUUUUGUUUUGUUUUAUGUAGAUGUACUGUUGUAACAAGAUGUAAGAAACAUAACCUCAACUAAAAGGCAAUCAUAGUGUGAGAGAGAGUGAGGUUUCAACCAGAACACAUACAACAACCGCACUGCGCACAGGGAUAGGCGGGCACAAAGUACGUACACACAUCACCUUGCGAAUCCUUUACCCGUGUUAGGUUCGUCGCCGUAAGUAAUAUAUUUGCCCCGUUUGUUUUUCAGUUUAUACUAUUUUUAAUUUAAAUAUAUUAUUUUUUGUGCGCGCGCGCGCAGACACCGCUUACGGCGGAACGCGUUUCGUCGUGGUUUUUAACCUUAUCGAAAUACACUUUAAACAUUGUUAAGUAUCUAAUGGUCUAAAUAUAAGUUCCUUGAUUUAGUUCUGUU